UAGACCCGAAGCGGAGUGAUCUACCCAUGGGCAGGUUGAAGCACGUGUAAGAGCGUGUGGAGGACCGAACCCACUUAGGUUGAAAACUGAGGGGAUGACCUGUGGGUAGGGGUGAAAGGCCAAUCAAACUCCGUGAUAGCUGGUUCUCCCCGAAAUGCAUUUAGGUGCAGCGUCAUGUGUUUCUUGCCGGAGGUAGAGCUACUGGAUGGCCGAUGGGCCCUACAAGGUUACUGACGUCAACCAAACUCCGAAUGCCGGUAAGUGAGAGCAUGGCAGUGAGACUGCGGGCGAUAAGGUUCGUGGUCGAGAGGGAAACAGCCCAGACCACCGGCUAAGGCCCCCAGCGUGUGCUAAGUGGGAAAGGAUGUGG
rnacentral:ncRNA from 1 species